UACCUGAAUGGUAGCUUCCUUCCCAGUG
rnacentral:piRNA from 1 species